UGAGAUUUGCUGUGUUGUAGUCCAACCACGUUGAACUGCUGUGUAUUUCAGCCAUCUCGGGUGAGAUUGGCACACUUAGUUUAUCCAUUAAAGAACCAAAGAUCGUCUCUGAGUGAUAAACUAACAGCUGCUUUCUCCCCGUGAUCACGUAACCGGCUUCGGUCCCACCAUUCUCUCUCUCUCUCUCUCUCUCUCUCUCUCUCUCUCUCUCUCAUACUAACCGUGCACACGCCACCCCUCACAAACAUACCCACACACAUUUGGCUAGUAGAUAACUUGGUGAUAAAGCUCAGCUUUGUCCCUAAGCUAUUGCACAUGCUGAGACAUGCGUUAAGCAGGCAGACGCCAUUAACCGGCUUCUCUCCGCCCACAUUUGUGGCCAUAUUCUCUGGCCAGAAACCUACUUUGUGUGACGUACUCUCCACGAGAGACAUGUCCGUCAUUUUGUGGGCGUCACUCCUUACACACACCUUCCUCUCAUGUGUUAUAGGCUUAUUUUGUUACCACAUCUAAUCAUGUCACUGUUUAGUUUGUAGUAGUAAACCGGAAGUUUAUUGACUGCAUUGUAUUGAUUAUUAAUUGAUAUUCUUCUUAUGCCCUCUCACCCCUUUCGGGGUAUGGGCCGCCAACAGUAGAUCACCAGAGGUUUCUGUCCUGGACCAUUCUUUCCAGUUGACUCCAGUUGUAUCCGCUGAUCUAUAUAUAUAACUGGAUAGCUCAUGACGUCAUCUUGGUAUUCCCUAACGUUCUGUAUUCCUAUGGGUCUCAAUGGGAAAUCGUCUGUUUUGCAGCAUUACGUUCAGCGGCGCACGUGUUACCUCAAUAGAAACAAGUUUAAGAAACUGAGUGCAGGCCUGAAUACGGCCCACCUCACGGGCAUCAUUUAUAAAGUGAUCAAUUGGAAUAGACGAGGAGCAGGGCUGGACUGGUAAUCUGGCCUACCGGACAUUUUUCCGGUGGGCCGACGCACUUUGGGGCCGAUCAGGGUGGACUGGCCAUCGGGAGAACCGAGCGGGCCGCUGUGUCGUCCCUGAUAAGCUAAAACGAGCCGCCGCGUUAGCGAACACUCUCCCCCCAACAAAUUUUGGGCCAGUUAUGUCAAAUCCCGGGCCGAUUUCUCUUUCCAGUCCAGCCCUGACAAGGAGCACAUGGAUAUUGUUGAAGAUAAACAAGUACAAGCUUGCCCAGAGUUUUCUUAAGCCGUUUGGAGUGUGAUGCAGCACGUUUCCUUGGCAAUGAAGUGGAGGCUGAUGUUUGUGCAGCUUUCUGCAAUGCACUGAGUAUGAAGAUGUGAUUGUUGUAUGGUUCUAGGUUGAACAUGUUUGCCUCAAGUUCCUUGAAUGCAGAACCACCAUGGAGAUCCAGAACCUUUGUGGGGACAGAGAUGGACCUUGUGAGUGUGUGCUGUUGAAGAAAUCUCUCAGCUGUCUUGCAGACUUUCAGGACGCUAUCUGACGGUCUUAUAAAUCCACCUCAGGACUUCAUGUCGAUUAGUGUGUUCAUCUUGGGAAGAGCUCUCGACACUGAAUGCUGAUAAACAGGCUGAACGUCACUGCCUGAAAUGCAUAUCAGAAGAUGCUGCCUCCAGUGUCACUGUGCUAUCCGGUGGAGAACUGUUGCCACUAGCUAUGAUGGCAUGUCUUGCUACCAUUCUUUUGAAAGCUGAAUAAUGUGGGAUUGUUGUUAAAUCCAUUAGCAGAUUUGUUCCCACAUAUCUGCAAAUUUUUAUUGUAUUGUUCAGUUUAAGUCAAUUUAUGUGUGUACUUGGAAGCUUUUGUUAUUGAACAAAUAAAUAUGU